UUCUAGAUUAAGCCGUUGGAA
rnacentral:miRNA from 1 species